ACAGUGGCGACUAAACGACAAAAACAAAUAUUUUGUUGUUUCUCGGUUUCGUCUUCACUAAAUCAGUUUGUGACGGUAUUGGAGCUUAAAGAAGAGCGACUAAGAACAGACGACAUCUCUAUCAUCCAAUAUUAGCCUAAUUCCUUCUGUGCCAAGAUUAUUUGACUGAAUUUCCAACUUCCAAGUUGACAAACCGUUACACGAGGUGAAAUGUGUAAACAAUGAUAUCGUCCAAUAUUAAAAUAAAGUAAGCGUAUUCCUAUGUCGGUAAAGAUUAUUUGGCUGGAUUUAUGAGAAGAAACUAACAGAACCGUGCAAUGUGUAUGAAAUGUCAUAACAGAUGCUGUUGUCCAAUACAAAAACAUUUAGCUUAAUUCUAUCUGCCUUAUGAAUCAUUUGGCUAGACAUCCAAGAAGACACUAAAGGAGUUGUACAAAAUACAUAAAAUCCAACCUCAACCGUUUUGCCAGCGACUAAACGACAAAAAUAAAUAUUAUGUUGUUUUUCGGUUUCGUCUUCACUAAAUCAGUUUGUGACGGUAUUGGAGCUUAAAGAAGAGCGACUAAGAACAGACGACAUCUCUAUCAUCCAAUAUUAGCCUAAUUCCUUCUGUGCCAAGAUUAUUUGACUGAAUUUCCAACUUCCAAGUUGACAAUAGAAGGCCAUACAAUAUAGAUGAAAUGUGUAAACAAUGAUAUCGUCCAAUAUUAAAAUAAAAAAAUUUCAACGAGCAUUCGUGACAGAAACUUCCAUCAGACCAUGGCGGUUCAGCACACAGCAGGUCUAAAUUAAAUAAAUAAUUGCAACAACCAAAACAAAUACAGGCACACAACGUGCACGCACCGAUGGAGAAACAGAAAAACACUCCUCAACUAAGCCUGUACCUAGCAAAGAGAAUAGCAGUUUCUUUGAAGCGACUUGGGCAUUAAAUAUCGAAACGCCUUCUUUGUUGAUAGUUGCCAAAGUGCUGCCAUAUUUAAGCAACUCUCGACAAAGUCUCCCGUUUCCAUUGAGAUAUGCAAGUAGAAGCGCUGGAAAAGAAGAUGAAAGGUAAAUUAACAGCAGUAGCGGUUGGUGGGCUAAAUAGGCCUGAGACUACAGGUCCAGAGUUUCGAGAGGCCCAUGGUAUCAAGACAAAAUUAGUGUUUGGUUUUUGCUAUUUUGGACUAGUUGAAUGUGCUUACUUUAGACCAAUUAUUCACUUAAAAACCGUACGAGCGAUUGAAUACUGAGGGGAAAUGGUUUUCGUAUUGUCAAACUCAUGAUGUAAUGAGUUUCCGAUUUCUCUGAUCAUGUCGAUGAUUUUUGAAAGUUCAAACUCUUAAUCGAAUUACAAACACAAGAAUGGAGAUGCAAAAGCAAAAGAACGUGGAGAAGACAAAAGUCUUGAAGAGACUGUACUUAGUGGGAGGAAUGGACGUCACUUAAUGGCUCGUAACAUUAUCUUAGCCUACAGGUCCCGUAACUAAUAAUCCGCCAUUGGUUAAUACAUUGGGAUGUAAAAAUGUCCUCAAUUAACGUUUAAGGAAAAUUAUAAAGCACAAGUUCAAAUAUU